UACGUAGGGGGCUAGCGUUGUCCGGAAUCAUUGGGCGUAAAGAGCGUGUAGGCGGUCCGGUAAGUCCGCUGUGAAAGUCGGGGGCUCAACCCUCGAAUGCCGGUGGAUACUGUCGGGCUAGAGUGCGGAAGAGGCGAGUGGAAUUCCUGGUGUAGCGGUGAAAUGCGCAGAUAUCAGGAAGAACACCUAUGGCGAAGGCAGCACUCUGGGACGGUACUGACGCUGAGACGCGGAAGCGUGGGGAGCGAACAGG
rnacentral:rRNA from 1 species